CACGUUGAAGCACCAGUUCCCGUAUGAUCACUGAAGUUAAGCGAGAUCAAGCCUGGUCAAUAUCGGGAUGGGUGACCGCUUGAGUAUACCAGGUUCUGUA